UUGAAAGGGAAACGAUUGAAGUCAGUCGUACCUGCGGGUAAUCAGCCUUUUGGGCAUGAUUCUGUGGAGCGUGAGGAGUUAAACGCCUUCAUGCCUGCAUAUUCGUGUACUUUGGGUGUACUUGCCUGUGUGGUUAGUUAACAUCAAUUUUGGUUAUCAUAAAAUGGUUGGAGGAAUGUAGCUUCGAUUUCGAUUGAAGUGUUAUAGCCUUCGGCAGAUGUGAUGAUCGGGAUUGAGGAUUGCAACGGAUACCCUUCGGGGCUACCUGUCUAGUCUCUGAUCGUUGCUCUGGUGCCGAAAGCGUGCUUACGGUUAUCAAAGUCGAUGGUCAAUAGGUUAGAACGGGUUAAAUUCGUUAAGGAUGUUGACGUA
rnacentral:rRNA from 1 species